AUGCAGUCGAGCGGNGUCCUCAGCGGUGGCACACUGCUGUGGACCCAGCGGCGAACGGGUGAGUUACACGUGAGGAACCUGCCCCGAAGACCGGGAUAAGCCGGGGAAACCUGGUCUAAUACCGGAUACCUUCCACGGAUCGCAUGGUCUGUGGAGGAAAUGGAUUCCGCUUCUGGAGGGCCUCGCGGCCUAUCAGCUUGUUGGUGAGGUAACGGCUCACCAAGGNGUCGACGGGUAACUGGUCUGAGAGGACGAUCAGCCACACUGGGACUGAGACACGGCCCAGACUCCUACGGGAGGGAGCAAUAGGGAAUCUUGCGCAAUGGGCGAGAGCCUGACGCACCAACGCCGCGUGGGGGAUGAAGGCUCUCGGGUUGUAAACCCCUUUCAGCAGGGACGAAUACUGACGGUACCUGCACAAGAAGCCCCGGGCAACUACGUGCCAGCAGCCGCGGUAAUACUUANGGGGCAAGCGUUGUUCGGAUUUAUUGNGCGUAAAGAGCUCGUANGCGGCUCAGUAAGUCGGAUGUGAAACCUCCAGGCUCANCCUGGAGACGCCAUCUGAUACUGCUGUGGCUUGAGUCCGGUAGGGA
rnacentral:rRNA from 1 species